UACAGAGGGGGCAAGCGUUAUUCGGAAUUAUUGGGCGUAAAGGGCGCGUAGGCGGCUUGGCAAGUGGAUGGUGAAAUCCCUCGGCUUAACCGAGGAACUGCCGUCCAAACUGCUUAGCUUGAGACCGGGAGAGGUGAGUGGAAUUCCCAGUGUAGCGGUGAAAUGCGUAGAUAUUGGGAGGAACACCAGUGGCGAAGGCGGCUCACUGGACCGGUACUGACGCUGAUGCGCGAAAGCGUGGGGAGCAAACAGG
rnacentral:rRNA from 1 species